rnacentral:rRNA from 1 species
UACGUAGGGGGCAAGCGUUGUCCGGAUUUAUUGGGCGUAAAGAGCUCGUAGGCGGCUUGGUAAGUCGGGUGUGAAACCUCCAGGCUCAACCUGGAGACGCCACUUGAUACUGCCAUGGCUAGAGUCCGGUAGGGGAGCGUGGAAUUCCUGGUGUAGCGGUGAAAUGCGCAGAUAUCAGGAGGAACACCAGCGGCGAAGGCGGCGCUCUGGGCCGGAACUGACGCUGAGGAGCGAAAGCGUGGGGAGCGAACAGG